UACAGAGGGUGCGAGCGUUAAUCGGACUUACUGGGCGUAAAGCGCGCGUAGGCGGCUUUUCAAGUCGAUUGUGAAAUCCCCGGGCUUAACCUGGGAACUGCAGUCGAGACUGUCUAGCUAGAGUAUGGGAGAGGGAAGUGGAAUUUCAGGUGUAGCGGUGAAAUGCGUAGAUAUCUGAAGGAACAUCAGUGGCGAAAGCGACUUCCUGGACCAAUACUGACGCUCAUGUGCGAAAGCGUGGGGAGCAAACAGG
rnacentral:rRNA from 1 species